UACGAAGGGGGCUAGCGUUGCUCGGAAUGACUGGGCGUAAAGCGCACGUAGGCGGGUCUUUAAGUCAGGGGUGAAAUCCUGGAGCUCAACUCCAGAACUGCCUUUGAUACUGAGGAUCUCGAGUCCGGGAGAGGUGAGUGGAACUCCGAGUGUAGAGGUGAAAUUCGUAGAUAUUCGGAAGAACACCGGUGGCGAAGGCGGCAUCCUGGACCGGUAUUGACGCUGAUGAGCGAAAGCCAGGGGAGCAAACGGG
rnacentral:rRNA from 1 species